GCUACCGAGGCACAGAGAGGGCGAGUGGCUUCUUCCUUCCAGGGCACACAGCAGUGAAAGGACAGAACUGAGAAUGGAACCCUCGGCCGCCCAGGGCCUCUGUCUCCGUGACCUGUGACCUCUGGGGAGGGCGUGAUUCCAGCCAAGACCGAAGGAGACGAGGAAGCCAGUGGAGGAGGCCAGCCCUGCGGCGACUGGGGAGGAGCCUCUGAACUGCCCUGAACCGAGGUUUUGUCAUCUGUGAAUCGGGGCAUUUGCAGGGGUGGAGUGAGAACCCCUGUGAGUGUUUCAUAAAAGUGGAGGGAUGCGGCAGAGUCCACGUCUCCUCGCAGGCAGGUCUGGCCUGAGAGAAACUGAGUUGGUGGAGAUGAGACAAGACCCCUAGGUCUCCCAGACUAGGUGGAGGUUAGGGAGGGGGCCAGAGAGUGACUUCCGGUAGAAGGCUAUGCUGGGACUCAGUCUAGUCGCCAUAGUGAUGGGGAGGGCGUGGCUGUGUUAGCUGGCCCACCCCUCACUCCCACCCGCCGUAGAUGGGCCAUGGGAUCCCAGGCUGCCAGAGACAAGUGAAGGGCUGAAGGCUGAAUGGCCAACUGUUCUCUGAGGAGGCUUGGCCCCCAAUAAAGACCCUUAUCACCACCUCCACCUCCCUCCCAGGGUGAUUAUCACCCAGAGGGGCCUUUCCUGGGGGACACAAAGAGACCCUCCAUUCCCAUCCUCUAGGCAGGACAAUGGGCCAUUCACACUGUGGGACCCCAGCCCACACCUGGACUCUCAGGCAGCCCCCGCGGCCCCAUUGUCCCAGGCCGGCCGACAGGGGUGUCCCUGGCAGGGAGGCCAGCCCCCAGCUGGAGCGCUCCUGGCCCUUCCCCCACCUCUCCAGCCGUCUGGACUCGGGGCUUGAUUUGGGGGGAGGUCGGCCCGCCAUUCAUCCCACAGUCCUUCACUGAAUUUCUCUCCUCUUGAAGUCCUUACAGGGCAAUGGGAAAAUGGGAAGGAAUAAUUAGGAAAACCAUUAGCGUCUCAAGGCCCAUCUGAGAGGGAUUAAAGGAUUAAAGCC